UACGGAGGGUGCGAGCGUUAAUCGGAAUAACUGGGCGUAAAGGGCACGCAGGCGGGCUUUUAAGUGAGGUGUGAAAUACCCGGGCUUAACCUGGGAAUAGCAUUUCAGACUGGGAGACUAGAGUACGUUAGGGAGGGGUAGAAUUCCACGUGUAGCGGUGAAAUGCGUAGAGAUGUGGAGGAAUACCGAAGGCGAAGGCAGCCGCUUGGGACUGUACUGACGCUGAUGUGCGAAAGCGCGGGGAGCAAACAGG
rnacentral:rRNA from 1 species